rnacentral:lncRNA from 1 species
UAUGUUUUGAUCUAUUGUAACAUUUUUUUUUUUUUUUUUUUGUAGUUUUACACAUGUAACUGAUGUUAUAGUAAAAGUAAUAGAACAUAUAAGCAAGGCGAAGGCACAUACAAUCACAGUUAAAGCCCACAGUACAGGGCAAGCUCUUAUCUGUUCAACUUGGAAGGCACAAGCAGAAAAGUAUUGUGAAGGUAACACAAAAAAAAAUUAUACAUUUGAAAUACAAAAUAUAUAUAAAUUAUCUGUAAAUUAUUUAUAUAUAAAAUGACAACUUUUACUAAGUACUUUUUUUUGUAUGUACAAACAAAUAAGCUUCGUAUAUUUUUUACACACUUUUUUUUAAUUUCCAGAACUGCAGAAGAAUGGAUUAACAGUUUCUAUUAUACAUGAGAGUCAAUUAAAAAGUACAAAAAAUAAAUCAGACACAAAAAUAUAGAUUCGUUUAUGUAAUAUUAUNNNNNNNNNNUUUUGUUUUUCUUCUUCAUUAAUUUCCAGUAUGUUUUUUUUUUUUUAAUAGAAAAGUAUCAAAGGAAAUAAAAAAAAAAAACAUACUGGAAAUUAAUGAAGAAGAAAAACAAAAGAGGGAAAAAGAAACGACUGCCUGGAAGGUUAUACUAUAUAACGAUGAUAUUCAUAAUUUUACACAUGUAACUGAUGUUAUAGUAAAAGUAAUAGAACAUAUAAGCAAGGCGAAGGCACAUACAAUCACAGUUAAAGCCCACAGUACAGGGCAAGCUCUUAUCUGUUCAACUUGGAAGGCACAAGCAGAAAAGUAUUGUGAAGGUAACACAAAAAAAAAUUAUACAUUUGAAAUACAAAAUAUAUAUAAAUUAUCUGUAAAUUAUUUAUAUAUAAAAUGACAACUUUUACUAAGUACUUUUUUUUGUAUGUACAAACAAAUAAGCUUCGUAUAUUUUUUACACACUUUUUUUUAAUUUCCAGAACUGCAGAAGAAUGGAUUAACAGUUUCUAUUAUACAUGAGAGUCAAUUAAAAAGUACAAAAAAUAAAUCAGACACAAAAAUAUAG